GAUGAACGCUGGCGGCGUGCCUAAUACAUGCAAGUCGAGCGAACAGACGAGGAGCUUGCUCCUCUGACGUUAGCGGCGGACGGGUGAGUAACACGUGGAUAACCUACCUAUAAGACUGGGAUAACUUCGGGAAACCGGAGCUAAUACCGGAUAAUAUAUUGAACCGCAUGGUUCAAUAGUGAAAGACGGUUUUGCUGUCACUUAUAGAUGGAUCCGCGCCGCAUUAGCUAGUUGGUAAGGUAACGGCUUACCAAGGCAACGAUGCGUAGCCGACCUGAGAGGGUGAUCGGCCACACUGGAACUGAGACACGGUCCAGACUCCUACGGGAGGCAGCAGUAGGGAGUCUUCCGCAAUGGGCGAAAGCCUGACGGAGCAACGCCGCGUGAGUGAUGAAGGUCUUCGGAUCGUAAAACUCUGUUAUUAGGGAAGAACAAAUGUGUAAGUAACUAUGCACGUCUUGACGGUACCUAAUCAGAAAGCCACGGCUAGCUACGUG
rnacentral:rRNA from 1 species